UCAAAUCCAUAAGCGGUGACACCCUUCAAAGAAGUGAGGGUCUGGAAUGCCUCAGCUGGAACAUCAGCAAAGUAGGUCUCAACAAGAACAUUCAAGCCAGACAGAGUUGACUCUAGCUCGGCAUAAGCCUCACUGAAUGCAUGCAAUUUGUGUGAGUCAAGAUCCAUAACAAGCAAUGGCUCAUCAAACUGAAUCCAGGAAGCACCAGCAGCCUUAAGCUCAGAAAUAACUUCCCUGCAGAAGUGUUAAUUGGUACAACACAGAUUAAUGAUGUCACUCGAUAUAUACACACAGAGUUAUUUAGCACAUACACAUUUAUAAAUCAGUAAUAGGUGAUAAUUUCUUACUUGUAGAUUGGAAGGAUUUUCGGAAGAAGAGAAAGAAGAGAAAAGGUCUUCGCAACACCCUUGGCAGGCUUAGACAGCAACAAGUAUGACACAGGGCCAAUAAGCACUGGGACAGUUUCAACUCCAAGCUGCAGCAUUAGACAAGUGAUCGAUAUUAGCAUCUCACAAACUUGAUCUGAUUGAUAGAAAGUUACAAGCAAGUUCAGAAUUCGUUUAAUGAAAUCUCUAUGAAAAAUCUUCAGGGUCCACAAUGUGUUGAAAGUACCCUUUUCAAGUAAUUUAUCUUAAGACUAUUUUGCAAACAGUAUUGCUUUCCUUACAGAUCAAAUAAAUCAAACAACAUAUGAACACAUUUACUGAACCAAGUCUAAGUUCAAAGCUCUAUAAAUAAAUGUCAAUGAAUCUAUAGUAAAUUCUAUUGCAUCCUAAGCUAAAGAUGAGCAUAUCAUAUAAGAAUUUCAAGGUGAACGUAACCCAAUUUCAAUAUAUUGUAGAUUCAGAUAUCAAACGAAAUAAAAUUUGUAAAUAUAGACAGAACUGAGAAUAAACACUCACCCCCUUAGCCUCCUUGUACUCAGUCACAGCCUUGUGGGAAGCGUAGGAGAACUUAACAUCGGGUCCCAAUUCAGGAACAAUGAAAUGACUGCAUCAACACGAAGCCAAACACGCGUCAGCAUUCAGUACAAAACCAUUACACCAUAAAUAACUUGAAAUGCCGCUCUUCCAAGUAGUGAAUACUUACUAGUUGGUGUCGAACCACUUGGUCAUUUCCAUAGCGGGAACAGAGGCGUUUCCUCUGGCCAUGGAGAAGUAAACAUCAAAUCCAAUCUCGCCGCCGUUCCAGUUAUACCUCGGGGGCACGGCACCGAGCAUUGCGGUGGUGUCGAGCACUUGGUCGUAGUAGGAGAAAGUGUUGCUGGGAAUGUAUUUGAUCCCGGCCUGGGACAUCUGUUUCCAGAUGGAGGAUCUGAGAUCAGCGGACACCUUUUGCAAAUCCUCAGCGCUGCUCUUGCCAUCCCAGAAGGAUUCCAACGCGAACUUGAGCUCCCUCUUGGGGCCCAUGCGUGGGUAUCCAACGAUGUGAGAUGCCAUUUUACUGUCAUAAUCACGUCAUCAAUGAAUCGAAAAUCAGUCACUUUCAUUAAAUCAAGAAAAUAUUCAUUCAAAUGGAUGGGUCAUUGCUAUUACUGCUCAAAUCAAAUGAAAUCAAGAACACUUAUCAGAGCAUAAAAUCUUAAAUUAAUUUUUUUAUAAAAAAAUAAAAAACCAGUUGAAACAAGCUGAUAAUAAUCCAAGAGUUUGAGAUGAUUUUUUUCUUUCUGUAAUCACAUGAACAAUUAUGUACUUUCAGUCAUUUUUGAAGGAUUAAAACAAAAAAUUCUACAAAUAGAUUCUGAAAAGAAGAAUCUAAAAAUAGAUUCAAAAACAGUAACACAAGUAGAGUUCAAAUUGUUUUUCGGAAAAGAUUAAUUACAGAUCUGAUUGAUUCACGUUCAGAUCUAGCAAAAUCACGGCAGCCAAACACUAGAUCUAACACUAACAGUCACUCACCAGUCCAUUAGAAAAUGAAAUCAAGUUCAAAAUUCUUUUAAAGUUAAUUCUUUUUUAGAAAAUGACCAGAUUUUAGUUGAGUAUUAGUGAGUUUUUUACAAAAUAAUUUAUUUUUGUUUUUUAGAUCCAAAAGUUCGGAAAUCAAAACCAUGUUCAAUGCUUAUUCAUGAUUAACGGCGUAAAAACGCUACUGCAGAGAAGACAUAACGAAAAUGGGAACCGUACCAAACAGAGAAAGAAGAGCAGAGAAAUUGAGAGUCGAGAGGAGAGAGAGAAGAGAGCGGCGAGUUUGGGGGAGUGCCCUCUCCGUUAUUUAUAGCCAAAAAUCAAAUCUGGUUUGGUGGUUGCCUUUGGCGUGCCAACCUGUAGAUCUGAGAUUUUUCAUCUUAAUUUCUUUCUCUUAUUUAUUUAUUUAUUUAUUAUGAUUUUCAGUGCAGUUCAUAAAAUAUAGAGCUGACGCGCGCUUUUCUGAUGUGGCGCGUGAAUUGGAAAUGCGGUAGGUCUUUGUGGGCCCCACGGCACGGUCAGGACUGAAGGAAAAAUGUGAGAAGUUAUCAUAAUUUCAACAGUGCCAUAAUUAGCAAUUACACCACCAAAUAUUUCUUGAGUUUUUUUUUUUUGAUUGCUUUAAAUGCAGAGUUGUUAUGAAUUGUGUUAAUUGUAGAGUUGUUAUGAUUAGAUUACAUUAUAAUUCGUCACAAUUAUGAUAGGUAUGUACGUAUAUAAUAAUUUAUGAGUAAUGAUAUAACCACAAACUCUUAUACAAACUUAUUUUGUACAAAUUGAUGUGGCAUGAUAAAAUUAGUUGAAUUAAAUAUUACUUGAUCCACAUGAUUUGUUAUUAUUAUUUUAUAUUUUCAUUCAACCAAUGAAUUAAUGACACGUCAGUUUGUACAAGAUAAGUUUGUACAAGAGUUUAUGGUUGUAUCAUCACUCAUAAUUUAUAUAAGAUCUCGAAUAUUUAAAAAAUUUAUAAAUCAUUAUUUUCAUGUACAUUUACCUGGUAGCAAUGACAAUAACAUAAAAUAAACUCCAAACAAGAAUGGAUUAUAUUAUUUAUGUUAUUUUAUAGCUUUUUAAUUGAUUUUUAAAAGGAUUAAUUGUUAAUCAUUACUCUCCAACCGUAAUCACCAUUAAAUAUUUAUUUAAUUUAAUAGUCGGUAGAUCAUAAAUAAGAUUAGAAUAUUUAAUGGACAAUCUAAUUGCUACUACAAUUGUUAUCAUUUUUUUAAGGUAAGGGAUUAGACAAUACUCAAAUUUAUUUUUUAACCCCUUACUCCCUAAAGAUUCGAAUUUAACUAACUAAUUAAAUAAGACUGCUUAAAAACCACUCAACCACAUCUUUUGGGGACCAAUUAAUAUCGAUGUUUAAACUGAGGUUUAUUAUUAAAUUUUUUAAGUUUCAAGUUUCAACCGCUAACAACAUUAUCAUCGAUUAAUGAUAAAUAUAAUAAUAUUUCAUCAAAAAACCAUUUAACACAUCCAUCCAUAUUAAACAUAAGUAAAAAAUUUAUCAUGCAUUUCAAAUAUAUUUUUCAUCCUAAAAGUUAUGGAGAAAAUCUUGAUAUCAAAACUUACAAUGUAAUUAUGGGAUGUAAUUUUGCAUUUGAGGUCAGCACAACUUAAAAAUUACUAUGAAUGAAAAUUUAUAAUAAGCAGACACCACAAAAAAAAAUUAUUUAUAAGUAUUACAAUCAUGCAGUUUUAUUUAAGUAUUUAACCAAGUCAUUCAAUUUCUAAUUAAGACGGUAUAAAUUAGAUUUGGGCUGCCUAAGACCAAAAGUCAAAAAAAAAAAAAGAAUAUUCCUAAUAAGCAGCCUACCGCGGUCACGCGCCUUAAGAAACGCUUGGACUUAGCACACGAUUUUAAUCCAAAAUGUAUAAAAAAGGAAAAAUUUAUGAGGUGUAUAAUUAUCUUGAGUUGUUAUAUUUUGAAGAAACAAUGAAGAAAGUUGGUGGCCGAAGUUGAUCCGGGGCGAAUGGUGGUGGGCCCACGUUGUUGCAUUAUAAUUGGAGUUAUUGUAAUUUUUCUUAUAAUUAAUAAACUCCAUUUUUCAAAGAAAAUAAAUAAAUAAAUACACUCCCGAUUACGAAAAUAUCAUUUCAUGAGUGUCAAAGUUAGAGCUGGCAAAAUUUGACACGACCCGAUUACCUGACACGAACACGACAUAAAUAAAUAAGUAUGGAUCGUCAAAUUUAACACGAUUAUUAAAUGGGUCGGGUCUGGGUCAACACAAUUUUUUUCCGUGUCGGGUUUGGGUUAAAAUUCUUGACCCAUUUACCCGAUCAAUGACCCGAUUAUAUUUUCUAUUUUAAAAUAAUUUACAUAUUCUUAUAAUUAAAACUCAAAUAUUAGAGAUAUUUUUUUUAUUCUUUAAAAUGGUGAAUAUAAACACAGUGUUUUAUUUAUAAAAUUUUACAUACAUUUAGAGCUUCAAUAGUGUAAAUGUGUAAAAAUUAAUAGACAUGUAUAUUUUAUAAUAUUGAUAUAUAAUAUUAUAUAUAUAUAAUUAAAACAUCAAUAGUGUAAAUGUGUAAUAUAUUGGUAGAUAUAUAUAUUUUAUAAUAUCGAUAAAUUAUGUAUGUAUGUAUUUAUGUACAUACGUAUGUAUGUAUUUAUGUAUAUACGUAUGUAUGUAUUUAUGUACAUACGUAUGUAUGAUAGUGUGUAAAUAUUUUAUGUAACUUUUGUUCAAUAUAUAGAUAUUAAACGGGUUAUUGGGUAACCCGAUUGUUUUUCCGUGUCGGGUUUGGGUCUCAAUAUUUUGACACGAUUAUUAAAUGGGUCGGGUUUGGGUCGACCUAAAUUUGACACGACACGACACGAACACGACCCGAUGACCCGUUUUGCCAGCUCUAGUCAAAGUGACCGUCACCUACGCAUCGCGUUUGUUGGGCGGGGUGGGUAAGGUGGGGCGAGGAGUUUGUUUGAUCGUCUGAUUACUUUGAUUUUGAUGAAACGUAUGGACGACGGCGAUGGCUUGCCAGCAAGUGGGUUUAUCAUGAUUUUGAUUGUAUUCGGGGAGAUGCUUAUGUAUAUCCUCAAAACUUCUUGGAAAUGAAAACCGCUGGGGUGGCAAAUCUUGACCAAUAAAGUGUGCGUGAUGUUGCGUUUAUAAAUUUCAAUAAUACUAUUGGCCGAUUGAGAUUAUUUUUAAAAAGUUUAAAAAUAAUUUUUAAAGGUUAAAUGUUAAUUUUAAUAUUGAAUAAAUUUUUAAAAAUUAUUUUUGAUAAAAUCAUUUUAUCCUCCAAUAAAUUUUAAAAAAUAGCGAUACAGUAAUUUUUUAAAAUCUAAUUUUAAUAAUCAAAACUAUUUUUUUAUAUAAUUUUAUAGAUAUCCGCAUAUAUAUAUUAUAAAAAUUCGAAAUCAUUAUUAUUAAUUAGGAAAUAAAAUCAUUAACUUUUAAGAAAUUAUUAUUAUUACCAAUUAUACUGACAUAACAAAAUAAAAAAUUAAUUAAUAUUAUAAAUAUUUAUUUCAGUUAUCAACUAUUAUAUAUACACAAUAAAAAAUAUUUUAUAUACAUAUUUAUAAAUGUAUAAAUAAUUUUUAUUCAAUAUUAUAUCGAAUUAAUCAUUUACAUUCUUGCAACAAGUUAACAAUAAAAUUUACCAAACACAUACGAUUGUUUUUAAAACUCAUAUUAUUUUUUUAAAAAAAAAUUACUAAACCUUUAACUGAUUCUCUUACAACUGAUUAUUUCUACAGUACAAUUAACAACAAUUAUUUUAAAAACUAUAACAUUUUCAAACUAGCCCCAUGACAAUAUUGUUAUUGUUGUUUUUCUUACUCUUAUCAAUAAAACUACGUUGCACAUAAGUGCAUAAAAAUUCACACAAAAUAAACUAUUUAACUUUAGGGUAUUAAUUGAAAAAAAAAAUCAGAUUAAGGUGAAUAAAUAUCAGAAAAUAACAAAUAGAUAAACUCUCACACUCUUUAAAAAAAUUAAUUUUAUAAUUUUAUUUAAAACCAACAGAUAUUACCAAACUUAACGGAUCAAUGUUCCAAUGUUUUCUUUUUAAUUUCAAAACCAACAGAUAUUCUUUGUUCAUUAUAUGACCUCCAAACAAAUAAUUUCAUUAAUAAAAUAAUAAUGAAAAGUAUCGUGGUGAGUACAGAGUAAUUCGGUGGCUAAUAAAAGUCUCUAUUUUUCGUCUCUGUUUUUCAUUUUAACUCUUGGGGUUGGUGCCACUUCGGCCUUGGUCGGAGUGGUGGGCUGCUGCCCUCACAAGUAUUGUGAGGACAGUGGUUCAAGCCCCCACAAAUAUUUUUGUGGGGGCUAACGUACUUAUUUAUUUAAUAUUUCAAAAAUUUCUUCUCCCUCGUGCAAUACGAGUGGAGUAUGGACAUCCCUCCUCUAUAAGGGAUUAUUUGUCUGGGCAUGUACUUCACAGAAUUCAAUGUAAUAAUAUAAGUCUCAAUCAUAUAUUUUUGAUUGUAAAUAUCAAUAUAAUAUAUCUGCUAUAAUAGCAGUUGUAAAUAUCUGUGUAAUGCAAUAAUAUGAUAAUUAAUCAUUAUUCAAAAAAAAAACUCUUGGGGUUGGUAGGCUCGUGAAUGGUCCACGUAACCUCUGGACGUAACACUCAAACAAAGACAGCACAAGGCACAUGAAAAAUGCCUAAAAACCGUAAAACCGUGACGUGUUCAACAUAUUAAUAAAUUUAUACUGUGUUUUCUUUUUUUUUUUAAUACUGUGUUGAUAAAGCACUUACGAUGGAACGACCAAUUCUAUUACUUGCAAAACUAAUUAAUAUUUCACUCUAUCAUCUAACUAAUGGAAGGCCAUCUUAAUUGAGGUUGCAAUAGUUAGAAAGUAGCGGGAAGGGUGGCCAAUGCUCCAUAUUAAUUUGCAUCAAUCCCUUUCUGGUGAAGAAGUACGGGUGAAGUAGAGGUCAAAGUUAGAAGAUGAAGGGUGUGUUUGGGAAUUGAGAGUGAGGUGCUGUAGUUUUUUAGCUGCAGUUGCUGUGAAAUAAAAGUUAUAACUGUGGAAUAGAAGUUGAGAAAAAAAAUUUGUUAAGCUGCCAAAGCCCAGUUACAAAUGUUACCAAACACCUUAGUAGCUAGGCUUUGGCAGCCCAUCUACCCCAUCACACUCCCAAACGGAUUAGAAGGGGACCGGGAUUGCUUUGUCAUAUUUGAAAAUGAUUUUGAAAAAAUAAAAAUUAAGUUCAGAAUUUGGUAAAUUCCUUUAAAAUUUCUUUUAGCAAAAUCACUCUCUCCUUUAGAUUUUGAAAAGUAUGGAAUGAGUAGUUUUUUAAAAUUUAAUUUUGAAAUUCGGAUUCAUAUUUAAUAUAAUACCAUAUAUCAUAACAUGUAUUAUAAAAAUCUAAAAUUAUCCUUAUUCAAUCAAUUAAGAAGUAAAAUCUUACAUUUAAAGAUAUUAUCAUUAUCAAUUAUAUUUAGAUAAUAAAAAAUACAAUUAAUAAAAUAAAAAUAUUUAUUUUAGUUAUCAAUUAUUAUAUAUAUACAUAAAAUGUAAUUAUAUAAACAUAUUUAUAAAUGUAUGUGUAAAUUAAAUUUGUAGAUUUAUGUUUAUAUAGAUCAUUUGCAUUCUUAUCACAUUUUAAAAGUGAGAUUUAUUAAAUAUAUAUAUGAUUAUUUUUAAAAUUUACAGCACUUUUUAAAACAAAAGUAUCAAAAGUUUAAUUGAUUCCUUAUUUUUACUGUACAACUAACAGUAAGAUGUGUUUGGUUCAAGUAUAAAAUGAUGGGAUUGGACAAUUUUAAGAUUAAAUAAUCCUAAUGCAAUGUUUGGUACCAAAAAUAAUUGUGGGAUAAAAAUAGUGGACCCCACCAUUUAAUCCAACACAAUGUCAAAAUUUUAUCACAAAGGGGGGUGUGGGAUAAGCUAAAACUUAAACGUAGGAUAACAAAAAAAAAGCCCAAAAUUUUAUACAACACAGUGAUUUUUUUUUUUUUUUGAGUAUGUCAUCAUCCAAUGAUAGUAUAUAUGCCAGAACACUCUUUUGACGUUAAUGAUAUGUAAUAUUUUCAUAUAUACAGCUAGUGACAUUGUUAUGUAAUUUCUUUUUCAUUUAUAGAUUUAUAUUAUUAUUAUAUUUGUUGAUGAUAUUCUUGUUAUGUUUAUAAUUAUAUUAUUUAGUAAUUUAUAAGUUUAAAAACUAUAACAUGUUAAAUAUAAGAAAAACUUUAAGCGAAGAUUUUGUAUUUUUUAACAAAUUUACCAAUAAUUUUUUAUUUAAGUUAGAUUAUAUUCCAUGUCAUUUUAAAAUAAAUCUAAGAUAAUUUUGAUAAAUUAAUAAAUAAGACAUAUUAUUAGUUACUAACCAAUUUCAUGGCAUACCAAACAUGAGAUAUGAUUAUUUACAGUCUAAUCCAACAUUGCACCAAACGUAAUAGAGUAUUAUAUAUAAUCCAAUGUUAUCAAAUCCAAUCAUAUCUUAUCCAAUCCGAUCCGAUCCAGUCUAAUCCAAUUUGACAUACCAAACAAGCCCUAAUUAUGUUAAAAACUACAUCAUUACCAAACUGACCCUUAAUACAAUCUCAUACAUACAUACAUAUAUAUAUAUAUAUUAAAAAUUAAAAAUUAUCUUUAUUUAGUUAGGAAAUAAAACCAUUAUAUUUAAAUAGAUUAAUAUUAUUACUAAUUAUAUUCAGAUAACAAAAUUAAUAAAAUAAAAAUAUUUGUUUGAUUUAUCAAUUAUUAUACACACAUAUUUAUAAAUGCAUGCGUAAAUAAAAUUUUAUAGAUUUAUGUCUAUUUAAAUCAUUUGCAUUCUUAUAACAUUUUAAAAAAAGAAAAGAAAAGUGAUUUACCAAAUACAUGUAAUUGUUCUUCAAACUUACAACACUUUUAAAAUAGAAUUUAAUAAAUGUUUAAUUAAUUUUUUCACAGCUGAUUAUUUUUAUGGUAUAACUAACAAUAAUCUAUAAACUUAUGGUAAAUAUUUGUGUGAAUGUUGGUCCAUGUAAAGAAGUAAAAACAACGCAUAUAUCAAGCAAUAAGAUAUCAAAACUCUUAGUAAAAUACAUAUACUAAUGAAAGAAUGACAGCAAUGCAAUAAAUAAGAUUAUAAUAUAAAUUAUUAAAAUUGUAUAUUAAAAAUUGAUGUAUGAAAUUCUUUUUAUUUUAGUGAUAGAUAAUGUGAUAUAUUUGAAUAAUUUGAUUAAAUGAAAAGAAAAAUAACAAGUAUGGUUGUGGAGGAAAUAAACCAUUGAACUGUGGAAUGUUAUUAAUUAUUGCUAUUUCAUUAUGUAACGUCCUGAUAAUAAGUACAGUGUUAUAGUAUAUUGAUGGGUGGUGAUAUUGUCACCCCUUAAAUUGUGUAAAGUCAACCUCAUUUACAAAUUUUUUGAUAUAAAUUAAAAAGUACAUUAGUUUUAAUAAAUUAUAUAUUUAUUGAAUAAACUAGAACCGUUAGGGAGCUGUAAUGUUAGCACUGUUUUAACUUAUUAUAAAAAAAAAAGUUAUGAUUUGAUCAUAACUCUAAUUUAGAAAAGAAAAAAGAGUUGAAUUGCUAACAUACUUAAAAAUAAAAUAAAAACAUUAUUAUUAGAUGAAAAAUUGUAAAACUUAAGGGGGCAUUUGCAAGUCCGCCACUACUCAAUAGAGCAUUAUUCAGUACUCGUUAAUAUAUCUCGAACUUUUAGGUUUUUUUAAUAUAUUUUUAAUACAUUUUCUAGAACAUUUAGAUAAAAAGAGUCAGUACUCCAAUUGAGUUGUGAAUAAACAUUUAGAUAAAAAGAGUCAAUACUCCAAUUGAGUUGUGAAUAAACUCAUGUUAAAAAAAAAAAAACUCAUUUUCACACUUGAAACGAUUAGUAAAUGGGUGAUACGAAUUUAACUUGGUCAAUAAUAUAUACCAUCUUAAGUUAACUUCAACUCAUUGAUCUUCUAUAGGGUUGAUCAGCCUGCCACAAGGCCCACAAAUUAUCACCUCUAAUGCUUUUGCAACAGUCGUUAUAAAUGCUGACAAAAUGAAACUUCUAUAUAUUUUGGUUUUUUUUUAUUUCUAUGAAAUAUAAGGCCCUUAUGGCAAAUUUCCAUCCAGCGUGAAAUUUGCUAGUUUGGCCUUGGUACUGUGGCACAUGCGUCAUGCAUGCGUGGCUGAGAUGCUUCUAAAACUAAUAAAUUAUGAAGAAUUCCAAAUUCGUACCAAAAAUAAGAGAAUAGGAGCUUGUCAUAGGUGUCCGCGGAUCGGAUUUUAUGGGUUAAACAUUAAUUCAUAUUUGAUUCGUGAUUUUGUAGAUUAUAAAUUUUUAAUUUAAUUCAAUUUAUGGAUUAGUGAAACUCAAUACAAAUUCAAUCCAUAUAUAUGCAAAUUAGAUGCGGAUUUAACCCAAUGCAUAUUCAAUCCAUCAUUUGGCGGAUUGAUUUGCAAAUUAAAAGUUUUUAAUUUUGUCCAAUCUAAAAAGUAAUUAAAUUAAAAAAAUCUAAUAUAUAAAUAAUUGAUUAAAUAAAAAAAUCUAAUGUAAAAAUAAUUUUACUACCAAUUAAAUUCAAAAUUGAACAAGAUUUAAAUAAAUUUAGAAUAAUACAUUCAAAAUUUUAAAAUAUAACACACCGAAAAAAAAAUUCAUUUAUUUAGAUCAAUACAUGAAAAUUAACUAAAAUUAUGAAUUUAAAUGUUGAAACUUGAAAGCUUGGAUGUAACAGGAAGAAUUUAAGAAACUUGAAGAGCUUGAAAAGAAAGUAAGAAAUUAAGUUUAAUUACCUCAAGUGGUGAAGUGAAACAGUGAUUGGCUUGUGCGUGCGGUGGGAUAGAGAUUUGGUGUUAUAUGUCAAAAUAUUUUGUUUGGCUUGGGGUUUUUGUUUUGCUUUAGAAAUUUUAAUGUUUAGGAAACUAUAUUUGCUUAUUUAAUUAUUUCUUAUUUUAUAUUGUUAUCGAAUAAAAUAUAAUAUUUUGUUAAUUUAGCUAUAAUUUUAUGCUGAAUAUAUUUAUUUAAAACGAUUUUAUUAAAUAAAUGUGCAUAUUUAACGAAGGUCUCUGAAAUUUCAACCUGCCUGCUAAUGAUAGCCAAUACGGCACGACCCACCAAAUGUCGGCCCACGCGGGCUUGUGGGCCAUGACGACUUUUUUUGUAAGGGCCCGGCACGGCCCACGGCACGAGUCCGUGCCCAAAAAAAGCCCACCUACCUUUUUUUUUUUUGUCCACAUGUUCAGCGUGCCUAAAAAAACCCACGUGCCUGACGUGCUUUUUUAAGCCCACCAGCCUAAUAGUAACAACAACAACAACAAUAAUAAUAAUUUCAUAGAAAUAAUUAAUGAAAAAUAAAAUAACAAUUCUAGAAUAACAAUUACAUCUAAUUUUAUUUGAACAACUAAUAUUAUAAUUGCACAUAAACUCUAUUGAAUGAAAAUGUAAUUUUUAAUUUAUUAUAAAAAUAUUUUGUUCAUAAUUUUAUUUUUUUGUGCGUAAAUAUGAAAAAUAUUUCAUUCACAAAUGAAACAUAUCUCCAUUAACUAUUAACUAAGUUAUGAUUUCAUAAAUGAAAUAUUAAUGUCGUAAAAUUUUUUAUUUAUCAUUUAUAAAAUCAUGAUAUUUAUUUAUCCAUUUAAUAAAUUAUAAACAUAAAAAAAUUAGAAUACUUAUUUAAACUAGGACUUAAAUUAAUUUUAAAAAGCCUAUACUAAAAAAAUAUAUUAAAAUUUUUAAUUUCAAGGUAUUUAUAAAAUCAUGAUAUUUUAUAUUUAUUUUUCAUUAAAAAAUUUUAUUUUGAUAUACUUUGGCCCACGUGCUAUUGGUGGCCCACGGGCCGCGUGCUUAGCCCACCAAUAAAGUGUGCUUAUUACAUGCCUUUUCGCGUGCCGUGUUUUGCCCCAUCUCUAAUCAUACCGUGCUUUUAAGGCCUGCGUGCCUAAAAUUCUAGGCCCGCAUGCCGUGCCGUGCCGUGCCGUGCCUCGUGCCGCCUGGCCCAUUGGCCAUCCCUACUGCCCGCCAACCACAUUUGUCCAAGAUCAAUUUGUAGGAAAAAAAUUUGAAAAUCAAUAAUUUAUUUAAUUAAUUGUUAAUGUAGGCAUUUGAAUCCCCACAAAAUCUGGGUGUCAGUUCUAGACUUCUGGUGAUAUAUUUUUCUAAUUAAGGAAUAAAAUAUUUUUGUCAUUUUUUUAAUAUUUUAAUUUACCAGGCAUAUCAACUAAUUAAUUUUUCUACUUAGACUAUUAAUUCAUUACGUGCGCAAUCUGUAGCCCGGCGCUCCAAUCCCAUGCAUGUUACACACAACUCAAUCAUUAUUUAUUUAUUUAUUUAUUUUGACCAACAACUCAAUGUUUUUUAUAGAGCUGUCAAAAUUUGACACGACCCGAUUACCCGACACGAACACGACAUAAAUAAAUGGGUAUGGGUCGUCAAAUUUAACACGAUUAUUAAAUGGGUCGGGUCCGGGUCAACACGAUUUUUUUCCGUGUCGGGUUUUGGGUUAAAAUUCUUGACCCAUUUACCCGAUCAAUGACCCGAUUAUAUUUUCUAUUUUAAAAUAAUUUACAUAUUCUUAUAAUUAAAACUCAAAUAUUAGAGAUGAUUUUUUUUUAUUCUUUAAAAUGGUGAAUAUAAACACAGUGUUUUAUUUAUAAAAUUUUACAUACAUUUAGAGCUUCAAUAGUGUAAAUGUGUAAAAAUUGAUAGACAUGUAUAUUUUAUAAUAUUGAUAUAUAAUAUUAUAUAUAUAUAUAAAAUUAAAACCUCAAUAGUGUAAAUAUGUAAUAUAUUGGUAGAUAUAUAUAUUUUAUAAUAUCGAUAAAUUAUGUAUGUAUGUAUUUAUGUACAUACGUAUGUAUGAUAGUGUGGAAAUAUUUUAUGUAACUUUUGUUCAAUAUAUAGAUAUUAAACGGGUUAUUGGGUAACCCGAUUAUUUUUCCGUGUCGGGUUUGGGUCUCAAUAUUUUGACACGAUUAUUAAAUGGGUCGGGUUUGGGUCGACCUAAAUUUGACACGACACGAAACUGACACGACAUGAACACGACCCGAUGACCCGUUUUGCCAGCUCUAGUUUUUUAAUAUGAAAAGGUAUUGGUUAGCUUUGUCUUUAGUUUUUUCAACUUAUAAUAAGUUUGUAUUAAGGCUCCCUUUGGUACAGAUUUUCAAGUAAAACUUAUUUAGGGUUAUUUUUAGGGACCUCCCCUGAGGUUUGGUGUAUUAACAAUCUGAUAGAAAGUAUUCACGUAAUUACAAAGACCUCCCCUGACAUUUGUAUUAUGUUAAGUGGACUGUUAUUGACUAUUGAAAAUCCAAAAAUACCCUUCCUGCCAAAAUAUUUCUUUAUUCACUGAUGAACUGAUGGGUAAUUCGUGCCAAAAUCACAAAUUACUUAAGAAGAUGAAAAUAUCCAUUGGAUAAAAAAAAUGAAAUUGCUUAAUAAAAAAAUUGACAUUGCAUAAUAAUAAAAAAAAUUGAAAUAAUGUGCGGCGGCAUAGCUGCAUCUUGCAUGCAUAUUAUUAUUGUGAUUUUUUUAUUACAAACUCCUUCAUAACUAAUACAUGCCACAAGAGCAGAGCUAUUAAAAGAAAUGAUUUUCAUAUUGUAAACUUGAUAGUACAGGUGUUGGCACCGACCAUAAAACCCUUAUGAUACCAAUCUUUGCUCCAUCCAUAUUUAAAUCCAGAUCAAGUAAAUAUUAAAUUGGAUUUCAGGUCCUGAAAAUCCUACUCUAUAAUUGAUAUCUUCGAGUUUUGUUGGUGCCUCAAACCUGGAUCUAGAGCAUCAUCUCUGUCAUACUCGGAACACCUAAACUAAUGGACUUGCUGCAGCUGCUUAUUCUUCUUCUGAAAUGAUGCACGCAUAUAGAUUACAGACUUUGAAAUAAGAAAUACAAUAAACAACAUGUAAUCGAACUUAAGAUUUCGGCACACUUGUUUGAAAAUUAGAAUCAAACAAGGAAAAUGGCAAGUCAAUAUUUUUUAAUCUAGAAAAAGGGAAAUUUCAAAGUUUAUCACAUGCCAAAUUCAUAGUCUUGCAUCCACUAUUUUCUAGUUUGAAUAACAAACAAAAGCCUUAGACAAAAACACAGAGAACAUCUCACAUGGGAGCAAAAAUUGUGUGUAGAACAAUAUACUUAAGUUACAUGUGAUUACAAUCACAUUAUUUAGCAAAUACAAAAUUACCUUCUCAAAAAAAAAAAAAAAAAAACAACACCACCAAAUUAUUGAAGGUAUUACAACAAUAAGGCAAAAGAACACCAAAGGCAUGCACAAACCGAAACUAACACACAACUCAAUUAGUGUCAUGACCCCAAACUGAACAAUCAUAUAAGCCAUUGUGGGCUCUCUAAAAGAUUAUCACAUUAUAAGCAAACAGAAACCUAUAUUUGAUGAACUACAUCUAGUACUUACACAACUCUUAAAUCAUUAGGAAAUUGCUCUUAUCAGUCAUUACCCAAUAGUUUUUUUCAACUCAACACUAACAACCCCAAAGAGAAACAACAUCCAGCACCAUUUUCAUUAAUUAAAACAGACCCAUUGUUAUUUUUAAUCAAUAAAAUAACAACAAUAUCGUGUAAGCCACUGAUUCAAGCAUUCAAGCUGUGUUUUCGAAGACUGACCUCUUCUUGCUAUCUAAUUCCAGUCACGAUAGACGCUAGAUGCCGGCAAUACUCGCUUCUUGGAAGCUCUGGACCACCGCACGACGUCAUCUUGUGCAGUAGAUGAAAAUAAAUCAAUGAUUUCAGAAAUUAUUUGUGAGUUGCAGACGCUUCUUCUCCAUGGAUGAAAAUGAUGGUGGGUUUUGUUCAAGUGUAAGCUGUGUUUACGAGGAGAAGUACACUUUGUGAAAAAAUCAUUUUCUUUCAUCUACUGGAUAAUGACUUUGGACUGGGUAAUGGUGUGUUUAAGUCUCUAUUUCACGGACAUUGAAGCAUAUUUUGCUUGAAUUUUGAUUUUGUUUAAAUUUCAAGUUUACUUUUACUUGUUUACCCUUUUAUACUGACGCUUAUGUAUUUUUAUACUAACGUUAAGGGAGGUCUUUGUAAUUAUAUGAAUACUUUCUAUCAGACUGUUAAUACAACAAACCUCAGGGGAGGUCCCUAAAAAUAACCCAACUUAUUUAAAUAGAACUUUUACAAAAAAAAAUUUAGUUAUUUGGUUGUCAAUAAACUUUUCAAGUAUACUUUGUUUGGUACAGCUUUUCAAGUAAAACUUAUUUAAGUAGAGCUUUUACAAAAAAAAAAAAAUUAGUUGUUUGGUUGUCAAUAAAAAUUUUUAUUAAAAAAAAUAUGAAAUUACUUUAUUAGUCAAGUUUUUUUAAAGUUAUGCUAUGAAAAGAAUAAAAUAAGAUUGUCAAAUAAAUAGAAAAUAUUUUAAAUAUUUUAACAUUUAAAAAAACUUUUUAACCUUUAUUUUCAAAAAUCUAAAAUUUAAACUUUUACUAGUAAAGGCAAAAUAAUUUAUUUAAACUUCAAAAGCUUUAUUAGAAAAAUAAUCAAACAAUAACAAAAAUUAUUAUAAAAGCUUAUCGAAUUAAAUAAGUACUUAUAGUUAUUAAAGAAGUUAUAUCUAACAGACACUAAUGCCGAAAGCCCCUUCUAAUUGUGGGUGUAAAAGUUUGAAUUAUGCAUACGGUUAAGGAGUUAAGGUGUGUUUGGCAACUGCAUUAAGUGGAAAUUUUUAUUUUGUUUCGAAUAAAAAUACAGCAAGCUCGUGUUCGGCUCAAAAUAAUGGAACGUUUAAUUUGCAACCGUCGGCGGACGAAGCACACCGUUCACGGCCCUUCGUAUAAAAUUGCAUAUGUAAACGUAAAUAGGUCCGGAUUCAGAUUCGUUGCUGUAGAGAGUGGCACGCACGAUCGGGCUGCUGUCGGUGGUAGGUUGGCAUUGGAAUUCUCAUCACGCGCUUCCCCAGGCGCCUACUUAUGGCAAAUUGACACGUGACGCGUGUGGAUUGAAUGGACAGAGUCCCGGGCAGUGUGUCCAAAGCUGCCAACCGUGCUCUGAUUUUUGUCAUCCAUAAUGGCUAACGACUAACGAGGGAGAUUUCCGGGCAGAAAGAAAUUGUUGUCGUUUCUGAAGGGGAAAAAAAAGUUAUUUAAUUUGUUGUUGAAGACAAAAUGAAGAUCUAAAUAAAUAAUGGCUAAUUUUGAGUGUAAAGCAACGGUAAAUGCAUUAUUAAAUUAGAUUUAGGGUCUGAUUGAGAUUAUUUUUAGAUUUAAAAUUAAUUUUGAAAAGUUAAAAUUAAUUUUGAUGUUUAUUAAUUUUUAUUAAAAAUUAUUUUUGUCAAAAUCUCUCAUCCUCCAGCAUAUUAUAAAAAAUAAGGAAGAAAUAAUUUUUUAAAAUUUAAUUUUAAGAAUCAGUUUUAUACUUAAUAUAAUCCACAUAUAUCCUCGUAAAUAUUAUAAAAAUUUAAAAUUAUUCUUAUUUAUUUAGGAUAUAAAAUUAUUAAAUUCAAACAUAUUAUUAUUAUUAUUAUUAUUGUUAUUAUUAUUAUUAUUAUUAUAAAUUCACACACGCACACACAUACUUAUAAAUUUAUAAAUAAACUUUAUUUAACAUUUUGUUCACUUAAAUCAUUUAUAUUCUUAUAGCAGUUUAACAUUAUGAUUUACCAAACACAGAUAAUUAUUUUUAAAAUCCAUAAUAUUUUUUAAAAUAAAUUUUAAUAAAUGUUUAACUUAUUAUUCUGACAACUGAUUUUUUUUGUAAGGUAUAACCAUUAAUAAUAAAUAUUUUAAAAGUUACAGUAUCCCCAAAUUGGCCCUUACUAAUACUCUGCGUUGCCAACUAAAUACUAAUUGUAACAUUAAACAUCUGGAAUAUUUUUCUCUAACGAAACAACACAAUUAAUUUCCCUCUAAAAAAGAAAAAGAAAAAGAAAAAAUAAACUACCAACCCCACCCCUUUAGACAGCAGAGUUUUAGCUGAGGCGGCUUGCUUGCAUAAGCAUUAAGGCUGCUCUUCACCAACCAUUGAACAUUCUUUCCAUUUGAUUGUUACACUUUACUUCGCCAUCUCAUGUCCAUGUACAUUGUUUUGAAAUGAAGACUUUGCGUACAACUAAUCUUUUUCAAUUCAUAAUAAAAACUCUUUUAAUUAGUUAAUAGCUAUAGCUUCCAAUUGAGACUAUAUAUAAAAAUCCAUAUUGACUGACCAAACCAAUAAUUUUUAAUUGGCUUGAGCAUUGUCUUACUUACUUCAAAAUCGUCACUCUCUUUGAAAAGAACAUGAGAGAGUUCACCUCCAUCUCAACCCUUAACCCUAUAUCUCAGUCAAGAGAUUAUUCAUGGAAAAUUCAGAAAAAAGAAAUGUUGCAAUAUUUACGAAACUCACGUCACGUGAGGUAAGAUAAAUUAUUCCUUUCUGCUUUAAUUCAUGUACAUAAUCAUGAGAAUAACUUUAAUUAUAGUUUAUUUCUCCGUUUUAAGAUUUUUCCUUUUUUUUUUUUAAUUAAUUAAUUAUAGUUCAUUCAUUAAUCCCAUAAGAAAUUAACACCUUUGCCGGUAAAGUCACACAUACAACAAUAUUUUAGAACAAAAGGGAAGAUCAUGCACGAUCAUGAUGUUUUAUUAUAUCUCUAGCAAUAUAAUUAUCUUAUAAUUAAUUAAAAACAAAACAGGUAAUUAAGCCAAAGUGGAUGGCAUGCAUCAAUCAUCAUGCAGAACACCUCCCCUUGUUUUAAAUAUAAAUAAAAGAAAUUUGUGCCCAGAAGACUUAAUUAAUACUUCUCGUUUCUGAAGUGCUCACAUGAUAUAUAGUCGGACGCAUUAUAUUUAAUUUCAUGAAUUAAUCGUACGGUUGUAUUUUGAGAGAGAGAGAGAGAGAGAGAGUGACUGAGUAAGAUAUGGCUUAAUUUAACCAAAUCUACGUAUAAAAUUUUAAAAUGAAUUUUUGAGUUUUAACUUAGGAAUUGUCUAUGAAUAAAAGUGUUAAUCAAAUAUUUCGUGUAAAAACAGUCAGCUGUAACAUUUUCGGUUGCUUUAACAAAACUGUAUAUUUCUGUAAUUUCCUAUAUGGGCCAAAAGGAACAUUUUUCUCAGAAAUUAAAAACUUAUGGUGAAAAAGAUAAGAAAACCAACAGGUUCAAAGGUGCGAGUAAACUGGGCUCUGGUGCGCCCAACUCCCUCUUUUGAUUUUGAGACUCUAUUGACCAUUGAGUUUGAGGCCCCAACGGCCCAGUUUAAAACUGUUAUGAAAAGAAAAAAAAUAUAACUAUAAAAUUAAAAUUAAUAAUGUUUGAUAAAUAUAAUUUUUAAAUAAUAAUUUGACAAAAAUAAUAUAGGGUCUUGUGUAUAUUUUUAUUUGGCAUUUCAAUUAAUCUGCUUAUAUAUAUAUAUAUAUAAGUUAAUCUAUAUUUCUUGCAAGAAGAUAGUAUUUCUUUAAUUAAAGUCAUAACUAAUAUAUAAAUUAUCAACUAACCAUCAAACAUUUAUCUCAUUUUAUCUCCACCACGAUCAUCACCAUUCAUCCUGUCACGAUCUUUAUGUAACUACAAUUAUUUUUUCUUUAAUAAUGUCAACCCACCAACCCCAUAACAAUAUCUCCAAACAUCUCAUCUCAAAAUUCCUAAUAACAUAAGUGUUUAUGUAUGAAAGAAAAUGUGAAAUAUAUAAUCAAAAAGUAGUUUAAUAAUAUAAUGUUUAAAAAUUAUGGUAAAAAUAAGUGAGAGUUUGGCAUGGCAAGUUAAUAAAAAGAUAAAAGCUCGGACACUUGAUGCAUCAAAGUAGCAAUGUCUGUCCAUCAUUAUCAUCAUGCGGGUUUAGGUGCUUCUCAUGAUAGCAUUAGCUGGUAAGACCAUCAUGCAUCGUACUUUCAUUGUUAUACAUUUUGAAGGUAAGAAUGGUUAUGUUACGUCCCUCCGAUUAGGUGUAUUUUUCUUCUUCUUCUUCUUCUUUUUCUUCUUCUUGUACGUAAUAAUUUCUCUUUCUUCCAUGAAGAUUUCUUUCUCUCUUUCUUUUUUUUUUUUUUAUUAUAAAUAAAAUGAUAAGAACUAAUUUCCUUACUAAUUGGUAGGGUCGUUUAAUGGUUCAGAUCCAUUAGAUUUUGUCAAAUUCAAGUCCAAUCCAUCAUAUAUUCCAUUUUAUAUUCCGGAUCCGAUCACUAAUAGAAAUCCAUUAUAAUUUAAAACAAUAAAACGUCGAAUCCAAUUUAAUUCGAUAUGAUCAAUCCAAUUAAAAUAAAAAUUUACAAAUAAAAAUCAUUAGUUGCUCUCUCCAGUUAUAAUUCUUAACAAUUAAAAAAAAUACAAAAUAUCAACUCCUUUAAUAUUUCAUGAUUCAUGUACUUUAUUAUCAUAUGGUUGGAAAAAAAAGUUGAAAUUUGAAUAUUAAAAGCAAAUGUUGGUUGCGACCUGCUGUUUGUAUUCUAUAUUGUUAUAGUAUAUUUAUAGUUAUUUUUUUAGCAAGUUAAAUAUAAAAGUGACAUAUAGUUUUUUUUUAUAAAAAAAAAUAAAUAAAGAAAAUAAAAAAUUAAUUGGUUGGAUUGGUUUAUAUUGGAUUUGAACAUAUAGAUCCAUAGACCAAUCUAAUAACAUUAUAUUUUUUAUUUUGCAAUCUUAUCCAAUCCAAUCAAAAUGUCAAUAUGACAAAAGUUGGAUUGGUUUUGAUCAGAUCGAUUGGUUUGAUUGGAUUGAAUUGAAUUAGAUCUUGAACAUCCUACCAAUUAGACUUUCCGUGAUUUUUUUUUUUCCAAAUUUAAUAAAGAGACUUCCCAUGAAUGUUAAAUGCAGUUUUAUUGAUGAAUUCUGCAAUUUUAAGAAAUGUUUGAUACACGAAUAAUGCAUCUCAUCAACCAAGUAACUGCGUCCCCUGCAGCAGCCGCGGCUUCAACUGGAAUACUGCAGCCACACCGGUCUUGAGACUCAACAUUCGGCCGAAACUCAAGCAAAAGUUGAACAAUAUCAGGCCUGCUUUGAGCUAUAGCAAUAUGAAGCAAUGUUUGUCCCUGCGCACCAGCAGAAUCAGCUGGGUGGGUUCCAAGCAGGGUCACUCUGUUCAAGAACCUCUCUUAUCUCAUCCAUUUCACCAUCCUUAACUAGCUGAACCACAACAUGGGACCCAACAAACAUGAUCUUGAUUCCUAUUGAUGAACGCUGGCUUCUUCCUUCUUGUGAACCAGUCACCAGGAACCGAAUCAAGCAUCAAUGUUGCAUCUUUAAUUGCAGCUGCAGGAACGACAACGCUAUGCAAGAGGAAGGAAUCAUCACAGUGAGGGAAAGUAUGAAGGAGAACUGAUCCUGGAGGAAGAUGAUACGCAAUCUCUAUGCUUACUGUUCCGAGUGGUUGCAUUGACCUGAAUAGUUCGAUCUAUUUCUCGUGUAUCUACUUGCGCUGCACUUUCACUCGAAGAACCUACAAAAUUAUUCAUAACCCGGCAUAAAAAAGACGUAAAGUUUUCAGCGCGAGCAUGGUAACUUCAAAACCCGUUUCAUACCUAUCAUAUUUCAUUCGUCCCGCACCCUCAUUUAAAAGACUAGAGCUUAUAAAAACUAGAAGUACCUUACCCAGAACAUAAAAGCAGACAAAACCCAGUCGAGUAUAAAUAUAACGUUGAAUAACACCUACCAUUUACCAUUUCAUUCAAGAACACCACACAAUUAACGAAACCAACAUCGGUAUGUUUUCAGCCGUUGUACUUUCAACUUAAUUUUGAAAGCGCGGCAGCUAAAGCCUAAACUGUUGUUUGAUAAAAGUCCACCCACUGACUGCUACCUGGCGGCUACCGAUUCCAUUCAAUAGCAGUCAUAAAAUAAAAAGUACAAAACAAACCUAUGUACAAAAAAGGCAAUGAAGCAGCCAUGGAUUCAGUUAUUUGCAUGUUUGGGAUUGUGGUUGAUUCCAAAUUGAGAAUAUACUGCGAAAUUAUGUUUGAUAAGCAUUUAUCUGAUGAUUGCUACUUUAUUGAGUGCCUGUUUGGUAUGGCUUAUUUAAAAGCCAUAAGUGCUUAUUUAAUCGUAUAAGCACUUUUUUAAAAUUUUUAUGGUGUUUGGUUAUUUUUUUAGUAGAGUUUUUUUAGCUUAAAUAAGCUAAUUUACCUCUACUAGCAAAAGCCCAAAAUUUGAGCUUUUGGGAGUAGAGGUUAAAGAGCUUAUCUAAAAAAUAUAUAAUAAAAAAAAUAUCAUACAGUUUAAUGAUUCAAAAGUGUUUUUUUUAUUGACAACCAAACACCCAAUGACUUUUUGUCCAAAAACUCUAUUGGUAUAAGCUCUAUUGUUAUAAGCUCUAUUUAAUAAGCUGUACCAAACGGAGCCUGAGUCUUCAAAGAAAAACUCAAUCAACUAAUGCUCGAUUUUUUUUUUUAAAUGACAAAUCAAAAAGUAUUUUGGAGUAGAUUCUCAAAAGAGUGAUUAUUUGAUAAUCCACCAUAAUCCCACUUAGUUAUCAGAAAUAAAUUAAAAUCCGACGAAUGUUACUUAAGCCAAACAGCAUUAUUUUAUUUUGACCACAAGGACCACAACCCUCAAGCUGUCAAGCAACCGUUACCGUUAACGACCAAUCUUUCACCUCUCCGAAUCUUUGCAAGUCACUAUCAAGCAACCGUUACUAAUAUUUAAUCAAUUAUUAGGAUUAUUGGAUUUCUCAAAUACCUUAUGUACUUUGGUUCACUUUCUACUAAAAUAAAUAUUACAGGAGCUUUCAAAGUCUAGGCUAAGGUUGUUGUAAACAUAGAGAGAUUCAGAGAUAUAACAGCUUGUAAUUACAUACCACAAAGCAUAACUUUGUUCGAAUGAUAAUGAUCAUAAUCCAGAUUAUAGACGUAGAGAGAGGAGAAGUCGUACUUGAGGGGCAAAACGCGGCGUUUUGGCUCGUGGAUGAGGUGCUGCUCCUGAUCGUCGUAGAUUGAAGGGAGGAGAGGUCGGUCGAGGAAGUUUAGGAGACGGUGGAGGCUGAAUUGGUGAAUUUCGAUGAAGACUGACGAAUCCAAUGGGGCUUGAGGGUUUGAUUUGCAAAGAUGAAAGAUAAGAGCAUUGUUUUGGUUUCUGUGCAAAAAAAAAAAAAAAAAAACAUGACAAGCGUUGUUUUGGUUUUGGUUCUAAAAAGAUGAAAAUUUGACUGCAAUGGAUCCAUACGCAGUCGGUGUCAAAUAAGAGGAGAAACAAAUAUGUUAAUCACUCGCUCAAUCACUCAUGCGAAGUGCCUUUUUUUUCGUUGCUUUGGCUUCUGAGAAAUAUAUGCAUCAGAUAUUACAACUCUCGAGGAUAAUGCAUUUUGUUCCGGUUUUGACUGAUAUUUAGUGGCAUUUGAUAAACUGAUACCUCAGAACCUGGUAGAGAGUUUAUUAAAUACAAAGAGAACAAAAAUAUAUGACUAUAUAAGCUUUUACACGGUUGAAGAUCCGGUCAAAUUGGCUUUAGUUAGCAAGAUCAUUUAAAACUUUCAAAAAACGAAUGGUAUCAAAAAGCUCUGAGAAAAAGCGGAAAAAAGGCACCACAAAGAUCUUGCAAUUAUUAUCACAGCUUGAUAAGACAUGGAAAUGUAUCUUACAAAUUGGCCUUCCAAGCAUCAAAGAAUUGGGUGGCGACAACUCCCAUUCCUAGCUGCUACCGUGGCCAGUCCCUUCUAACUAAAAUGGGACAGGACCAAAAGCAAGGUCUCUCCCACUCUCCUUAUGUAUAUAAAAUUCCCUACAUUCGAAUAAAACUACAGAAAAAGAUUUGCACAUCAUCUUCUUUCACCUUAUUUUGCAAUCUUCAAGAGUUUGGAAGAUUUCAAAGCACUUGUUAGAAUGUAGCACUCCAUUAAGCAUUCUCACCUUCCCCACACCCCAAUGGACCUCCUUAAUCCUAUCGGCAGACCUACAAAUUCUGCUGCAACUCCAAUCAAAUAAAGCAACACAAUUGUUGCCUGCCUAAGCCUUCCACUCACAGCCUGCAAUGACAAGUUCAUGAUACAAAAUCAGAAACAUUAAUAAACAAAAAGAUAUUACCAUUACUUGCAGAGGGGGAUUUGUUGCAAUUAGUAAAUGCCAUACUUAUCACUUUCAUUGCAGAUAUCAUCAUCAUCAUAAUACUAGCAAUCCAGCACUAAUAGUCAGAAUAAUAAUAAUAGUAGCAUGAAUAAAGAAUUUCUGCAGAGUAAGCUCUAAAGAUGCCGAAAGUGUCAUCUAUUAUGUUAAUAAUAAAAAAGUCUAUCAAGAAUUCAAGGAAAGAAAACUCAUUAACAAAGAACUAAACUUUUUAAUAAUGUUUAAUAAACUACGUACCUAUGAUUUUCUAUUAUUAACAUAAAUGACACUACGUACAACUGAUUUUCGCUUUCUAAUGUUUCAAAUCAUACCGAGAAAUAUAACAAUUACCAAGUCAGUAAGUAGCACAAUUACUUAAUAAGACUUUGACUUGUCUAACCCAAAAUUGUACCCAAUUCUAUACUCUACCAUGAAAAGCUUAUGAAGCCGAACUUACUUUGACCAAACAGUACUAUUAGCUCAGUUAAAGGAAACCACAAUUGAACAAAGUUCAGCUGAAAUAACUGAACUAAAAAAACUUGAUAAAAUUAAAAGUAACUUAUAACAGUUUAGUAAAGAAGCAUACAAAACAUGAAGAUAAAUAAACAUAGGUCUAUUUUCUUGACACUACCAGGUCCUUUCCUUUUUUUUUUUUCAGAUAAGAUCUCGAUACUACCAAGUUUUGGAUUCAAAAUCACCAUAUUACAAUAAUAGUUGUGAUUCAUGGGAUACAAUAUGUAGCAGCUUAUAUGUCGGCAAUUAUAGUCAAAGAUGGUUGUCAAACAUCAUCGCAAAUCAAGAAGCUAAUAAAGACCAUGUCACACUACAUUAACAUAUAUCAGUUCUUUGAUACAAAGAUAUUGAAUGUUAUACAUUUCUAAUCCCAAGUCCUGAAAUACAAAACAAAAGUUCACUUCACACAGUCAUAAAGCUAGACUGCUAGAUAAAUGGACAAUAGGCAUUGGAUAUGGGUCAAUAAACUAUUAAGCUAAUUAAUGCACACGAAGGAAUCCGUUAGAGCUAGUAAAAUAGCCCUUACCAGAGAACUCGCAGAAGCAUUCAAUUUCCUCAAAGGAGAUAACUUACAACAUAAACAUUUUGAUAAGCAGCAACACACAUAAAAUAGCUUCACUCACUAGCAACAGAGCAACUUCUUCAACACAUUAAUAAAUCCAUUUUCAUUUUUAAACAACAAAAUAAUGCCCAGUUUCUCCAGCACAAAUAGGGUAAGCAGUAAUAGAAAAACAUGAUACAUAGGAAUUACCGGCCUCAAGAAAUCUCCAAGCUUUCUGUCCUCUGCUUCAAUUGCUCAAUCAAGAAUGCCCCAGACGUUGCGCUAGCGUGGUGGUGGAGCGUCGCGAAGCGUGUGGCGGCGGUGUCGGCGAAGGCAGGUCAUGAAGAUAGUUGGUGUCGCGCAGCGAAGGCAGUGCAGCUGGUGUCAUGCGGCGAAGGCAAAUCGCGUGGUGGUGGAGUUGGGGUCGCGCGGCAGUGGCGGUGCGGUGCUGAGGCAUAAUAGUGGCGGUGGCGUUGUGCGACAGUGGCAGUGUGGAGGCAGAUUGCGUGGAGCUGGCGGUGUUGAGGCAGAUCGCGUGGAGGCAGAUGCCGCGGUGGUGGAGUUGCUGUCGCGAUCAACGCCUGUGAAAGGGAAUGAAAGUGAAGGAGAUACCUACAAAAGAAAGAACGAGUGAAAUUUUUUUUUUUGUUCAAGGGUUUCAAACCCACAUAAACCCGACUCUCACACGGGUUCAGUAAGUUUAUGCGGGUUUGACUGCAUUACAAAUUGGUAUGACCACAACAACAGUACAAUGAUUGGUAAUUACCAAACAUGCUAUUUAUGUUGGUAUUAAAUUAAUUUAAUACAAUGAGGAGUGGUAAUAUCAUACAAUGAGGACUGUUAAAUAUGGUGUGUUUAAUAUGUUGUAUUGUAUUAUAUUAUUUUAAUACAAAUAUAUUAUAUUAUCUUGUAUUAUAAUAAUAUUAUAUAAUAUUUUGUGCUACAUUGUGUUGUAUUAAUUUAUAAUUAUAAUAUAUUUAAUGUUGCACCACGCUGUACUAAUUUUUUUAGUAAUCAAUUUAAAUUAUAUAUUUUACAAAUAAUAUUUAUUAAAAUACUUAAAAAUGCUAAAUAUGAAAAUAUUGAAUUUUAAAAAUUUAAUAUUAUUUUUUUAAUAUAAAUAUUAAAAAAUAUCAUAAUUCUUCAUAGAAAUCGAAGUUCAUGGCAUUAAAUUUUUAACGCCGCAUACAUAAUAAAAAAUUUGAUUCUCUAGUGCCAAUAUAAUAGAAUACAUAAAAACGAGACUGAGAAACUACGAAUAAAGCUCAUCAUCAAGGACUCCACAACAUUAUAAGAAGUACUAUGUAACAUUUGCCAAAUUACAACACCACAUCAAGACAUAUCACAAUGUAAAAUUUUUCCUAGAGAUUUGGUAAUUGAAAAACACAAUUCAAGUUGAAAACUGAUAGUCGACUUGAAAAGUUUUAACAUAUCCCAUAAAAGAAAUGUGCCAUGCCAAAAAUCCUAACCCUUGGCUCUUUGACGAUAAGAAAAUAUUGAAAAUUCCAAAGUACAGUGCAAUGGGAGAAAGAAUGCCUAUAAAGCUAGUAAAGAUAUUCUUAAACUACUAUUGGGAUGUUGGGCUGGUUGGUAGCAAAACCCAAACCCUGCUGCUGAUUUCCGAUACCACCAUCUUGGAUAAGCCGCUCUCCCUCCUCUUCCUAACUCCUAAGCCCAAUAUCUUUCCAAAACCUUCACAACCCACUCAUAAAUCUCAUUGUUGUCGUGGAUAUGCAAAUUCUCAAUCUUUUCUACUCCAUCACACUCAUCAAUCAUUUGGGUAUAAACAUUAACCCAAUUAUCCAUUCCUAUUUCCUUGUUAACCUCACCCACCUUGAAAAUGUUCUCAAGACCCUAUAGACAAACUGUGACGAUCCUUUGGUCCAGACAAACCAGAAGAUCACAGAGCGGUUUGAUGCAACCUUGGCUCACCAGGAAUCUGCAGGACCAUGGUACCAUAAGUGAUUCUAUCACAUGAACAUCAUUAGAUUAAAAAAAGAAAAAAAAAAGAAACAUCUAUCGUAUGAACAUUGCUGAGUGAAUAAAAGAAACAUACUGAAUAUGUUCAUGAGAUCCUCCAUAUGUGGCAUUUAAGACAGGCCAUGCAGCCUCCUUGAUUUCAAGUUCUGCAUGUUGAAGAAGAGGUGCACAAAAGGAAGGAUAAGGAAGGAUGAUAUUGGCCUCCAUAACAGCCUGUUGAACAAAAAUUCGACAAAUUAUAAUUAUGAGUAUAUUUAAGUAGCAAUUUUGUCAGAAUUAACUAGACUUGACUAUUGAGGAAGUCACAUUCAAAAAUAGAAAAGACGAGCAAGCAAUUGUAUUCAUGCUAUCGGGACCAAAAUACUAUGAUGCAAGCAAGAAAGAAAAACAUACAUACAUAUAAAACACUAUCUUUGAGUUGGGUAUUUUCUUUCAAUUUUGAUAAUGGCAACUUUGGAUUCUUCUGCUGAAUUACCACCACCACCACACCAUUGUAGUUUCACAUACUAAGAAAAGGCAGGUUCAGCUCCCGUGCAUGCCCAUAAGAAUAUGAUGUAUUAAUUAGAAGUAAAAUUAAUCUGUUCAAUUAAGUUCUCUCAUAUAUUUGUGUGCGUGUGUGUGUUAAUUAGUUUGCUUUCAAAUCUUUUCUCCCUUCUUAAUGAUAUAUAUUUUAAGCAUGAUAUCAACCACGAUGAAUUUAUUAGCCGAUUUUUAAUUAUACAUUCAGCAUGAUAUCACAAACCAAGAGCUUAAGUUAGCCUAAUUCUUCAUAAAUCUAAUAAUUGCAAUCAAUAAUAAUGCUGAAAAUACGAGUUUGAAUUAAGCUAGCAACUGGUUCUUAAAUUAUGCAAUAUGUAAUCAUAGGUUUACUUAAAGAUUAAAGCAUUUCUGCAAUCCAUUGUGCAAAAAGAUUAAAAAAAAAAAAAAUAGUUGCCAAAUUUUAUCUAAAUAAAAAUUCCUUUAGUGGUUAGUACUUGUGAAUUAUAGAAAUUAUUAUUAGUACUUGCUCAGCGCUUUUUAGAUUUGUACAGGUAGAUUACGCCAUUUCAAACCCGACCAUCCAUUUAGACAUACAAAUCCCCCCAAUUCCCUGUCCUCCGCCUUUACGCGACUCUCCACUGUAUGUGCCAACUAAUUAAUUUUUUAAUUACUUGUUUAACUAAUUAAUUCAUUUUCUCAAAAGCAAGAUUAAUCUAUUUGUUCAAAUCUGAAGGAGAUUAAGUUAAUUGAUUUUAUUGUAUGUAAAAAUAUACAAAGAACUCAUGAAGCCAACUAGAAAAAAAAAAAAAGACAAAAAAAAAAUCAAACCCAGAAAUAAAAAGACAUGCUUCGACAGAAAAUUAAUGAAAAUUAUACUGAUUGUGGUUCAAUUUGAUCAAACCCAAAUAAUAACCGGUUUGAUUGAUGACUCAGCGGCAAAGUGCAGGCGCAUCAGUGGUUGCACAGAUGAGUGUUCUCGUGCGGCACGACAAAGCAAUUGUCGGCGAUUGUGAUUGGUGAUGACAUCGAGCGAUGGGGGUAAUGGCAUCGGUCGUGACUUUGUGAUGGAGAAACGAAUGUUAGAUUCGUUCGAAGAUUCGUGUUUUGAUUGAAUAACAAAGAGAGAUUUUAUGAGUUUUAAUUAUCUAAUACGAUACCGCAUAAACCCGACUCGUACGUGGGUUUAUUUUAUGCGGGUUUCGGUGUACUAAAGCAGUAAAUUUAUGUGGUGCAAUUCAAACUGAUUUCACCGCCAAAAGAUCGUGUAAAUUUAAUAUUAUACAGGGUUUUAAUACUAUGUAAUCCAAUACACCAAACAUGCCCUUAAAAACGGAUAGCAAUCCGGGGCCUUUAAAAACGGAUAGCAAUCCGGGGCCUUUAAAAACGGAAAAUACAAGCAGAGAAAAAGAAAAGCCAAUUGUUCAAAAGUGCCUAAUAUGCCCACGGAAAAUUUUCGUCACGACCCACAGUUACUCGAAUAGGUAAUAAGACAGGAAUGCCUUUGUUUGUUCGAAUAUAGAAGCACAAUGGCUCAGAAAGGAUCCCUCCAAUCUCCUUGGCACUGUCAGCUGGGUGCGGAGUAGCUUGGUGGCAGCAACCAUGUUUGAGAGGGCUGGCUUCACCUCAGUGUACUUGCGAGUCUUGAGACCACAGUCAGGGUUAACCCACAAAAUGUUGGUUUCUAGCACAGUACGCAUCUCGUAGAUUCUGUCAACAAUUUCUUCGGUUGAUGGUAUUCUUGGAGAGUGGAUGUCAUAGACGCCAGGGCCAAUUGCAGCAUCAUACUGGACUCCCUCACGGAAGACUGACAGGAGAUUCUCAUUAGAACGAGAGUUCUCAAUGGUGAUCACAUCAGCAUCCAUGUCGAUAAUUGAGUGGAUAAUGUCGUUGAAGUUGGAGUAGCACAUGUGGGUGUGGAUCUGUCAAUCAAUAAACAAUAGAAUGAGAUACAAAAUCAACAGCUAAAUUAAAGAGAUGAGAUUGGAGAUUAAAAGGGUAACUGACCUGGGUAGUGUCCUGGAUGCCACAGUUGGUGAUUCUGAAGGAGUGGACUGCCCAGUCCAAGUAGAAAGCAUGCUCAGAUUUCCUGAGAGGCAAUCCUUCCCUCAAGGCAGCCUCAUCAAUUUGAAUAACGUUAAUGCCUGCCUUCUCAAGAUCCUCGACUUCGUCCUUGAUGGCCAAAGCAAUCUGGUAGCAGGUUUCAUGUCUGCAAAAUUGGCAGCGAUUGAUGUUAAACAAUGUUUCCAUUCCAAAAGGUUAACCAAUAGUGAACCAGUUCUCAUUUAUAUACCUGGGCUGGUCAUUUCUGACAAAGGACCAGUUGAGAAUGGUGACAGGGCCAGUAAGCAUUCCCUUCAUUGGGCGAGCAGUCAUGCUCUGAGCCCAGGAGGACCAGAAGACGGUCAUAGCCUUGGGACGGCUCACAUCACCAUAGAUGAUGGGUGGCUUCACACAGCGAGAUCCAUAGGAUUGCACCCACCCAUUGGCAGUGAAGGCGAAACCUGAUAACUGCUCUCCAAAGUACUCAACCAUGUCGUUUCUCUACAAAAACAAAUGUCCGAAUUCAAUUUGAGAUCCAGCAUACUUCGUAUGCAAUUAGAAAUGCAGAAACAAAAAUGUAUAAAAUUUUAUGUAAUUCAAAACCAGGAGACAUUGCUUUGCUUCCAUUGGGCAUUGCGAGACUCACCUCAGGCUCUCCAUGGACAAGGACAUCAAUAUCAAGCUCUUCUUGGAGUUUGACAACCUUGUUGAUUUCCUCCUUGAUGGAAGCAACAUAUUCUUCCUCAGAAAUCCUAAAAAGGACAAAUAGUCACGGCACAGUUAAUACAGUAGUUGCAGUAAUUUCACACAUGGCAUUGAAUGAAGAAACACCUCAGAUUGACUCACUUCUUAGCCUUGUAUUCACGGCGGACUCUCCUAAGUUCAAUGGUUUGUGGGAAGGAUCCAAUUGUGGUGGUUGGGAGGAUUGGAAGAUUGAGCUUCUUCUGUUGAGCAUCUAAUCUAGCACUAACGUUUGUAGCACGUCUGUGGUCUGAUCCCCUCAAAGCAGCAGCCUAAUAGACCAAGAGGAAGGAAUCACUGUUAGCAAAAAAGGAAAUUCUAAGGGACAGCCACAUCAUAAAAAUGGAAAACAAAUCAAUCAUGCCACUUACAGCCUUUUGAACUGCCUCAUUGGUCACUCUCGGGGAGGACUUUCUUGAAGCCUGAGCUGCAGCAUUGGCAGAGAAGAAUCCCUGGAAACAAAUGAUAAGGAGAACCAAAGUUAGUCUCAUUCAUAUCAUUUUAAAAAGAAGAUACAUAUGCAAUUAGUGGGCUGAUUGUGAGAGAAAAAGUCCCCAAAACUUUAAUCAAACACCAAAUGCCCAAGUUGCCAAAUGAUGUUUAAUUCGGAAAAAUAUAUUUAAAAACAUUCAAAUAUAAUUUCCCCUUCUAAAUUUUCAUUUUCAACAACAUAUUUUACAAGCCAAGCUCAACGUCAGGCCAAGAUUUUGUGCUCCUAUAAUUAUAUUUUACCAUAAAACUAGGUCCUUGAAAGGCUAAGAUUUUCUGACUCUUGUGACUAGUCAAAGCCUAAGAUUCUUUCAAUUCAUCCGUAGUAAAAGUAUACCUCAUCCUUUUGGCCAGCCAAAGCCUUGGCCAAUGCAUUGACUUCAACAACUUUCUGGGCAGCAAAUGCCAGCCAUGACUUGAUUUCGUCGUCGAGUUUGUUCUCAUUAACAAGAUCAACAGCAGUGUGAAGAAGUGAGCAGGAGGUGGAGACCACAAGCUUGUCUGCAAAGAAAAGUAAUAAAUUAUACAACAAAUCCCAUAAUAGAAUAAGAAAUAUUUAUCACAAAGAAAAAUGCAAGCAAAGGAUGUAUACCUUUGCCAACAACACCCUCAAGCCCCCGGAGAACACUAAGAGAAGCAGCAAGAUCAUUGGCCCAAAUGUUCCUUCCAUCAACCACUCCAGCAAAGAGGUACUUGCCAGCAGGGAAUCCACUCUUGAUCAAUUCAAGGGUCUUGGUUCCACGAACCAAAUCAAAUCCAUAAGCGGUGACACCCUUCAAAGAAGUGAGGGUCUGGAAUGCCUCAGCUGGAACAUCAGCAAAGUAGGUCUCAACAAGAACAUUCAAGCCAGAC
rnacentral:lncRNA from 1 species